UCUGUGUUUGUUUUUUUCUGUGUGUUUUUCUGUUUGUGUAUUUUUCUGUGUGUGAGUUUUUUCUGUGUGUUUUUUUCCCUGUGUGUGUUUUUCUGUGUGUUUGUUUUUGUGUGUGUGUGUGUGUGUGUGUGUGUGUGUGUGUGUGUGUGUGUGUGUGUGCUUGCAUGUGUGUGCAUGUGUGUGUGCGUGUGUGUCUAUGUGUGUGGUCCGUUUCUUCCUGAACACAUGCCAACCAUUAGAACUGGCUAAGGCUCUUCCGACUUCUGCCCCAGAUUAUCAACAGACAUUUCUAAUCUCUGAAAGCCAGAUGAGACGGAUUACUGAGCCCAUCUUCUGUCCCCGAACAGAGCGCAUUUAUACAGGACAAAUGGAGUCGGUUCUUCUUUAGUUUACCAUGCUUCACUAAACAGGGUUCUACAGGUCAUGGAGCUGGGUUCUAAAGGUCACAUGGUUCUGUUUGCAUUGAGCUGGGUUCUGUAGGUCACAUGGUUCUGUAGGUUGCAUGGUUCUGUAGGUCACAUGGUUCUGUAGGUCGCAUGGUUCUGUAGGUCACAUGGUUCUGUAGGUCAUGGAGCUUAGUUUUGUAGGUCACAUGGUUCUGUAGGUUACAUGGUUCUGUAGGUCACAUGGUUCUGUAGGUCACAUGGUUCUGCAGGUCAUAGAGCUGGGUUCUGUAGGUCACAUGGUUUUGUAGGUCACAUGGUUCUGUAGGUCAUGGAGCUGGGUUCUGUAGGACACAUGGUUCUGUAGGUCACAUGGUUCUGUAGGUCCCAUGGUUCUGUAGGUCACAUGGUUCUGAAGGUCACAUGGUUCUGUAGGUCACAUGGUUCUGUAGGUCCCAUGGUUCUUUAGGUCACAUGGUUCUGUAGGUCACAUGGUUCUGUAGGUCCCAUGGUUCUUUAGGUCACAUGGUUCUGUAGGUCACAUGGUUCUGUAGGUCCCAUGGUUCUUUAGGUCACAUGGUUCUGUAGGUCACAUGGUUCUGUUGGUCACAUGGUUCUGUAGGUCACAUGGUUCUGUAGGUCACAUGGUUCUGUAGGUCCCACGGUGCUGUAGGUCACAUGGUGCUGCAGGUCACAUGGUUCUGGGGCUCACCGUGUCGGCGUCGAUGUAGAUGGUGGGGCAGUCCGAGCAGGUGGUCAGCAUCUGGGAGGAGCGGAGAAACUUGGAGCCGAUCCCCCGCAGCCCCUCCCCCAGGUAGGUGGCUGCGUCCGUGGUCAGCGUGCAGAACUUCCCCUGGAUGUUCUGGGAGCCAGCAGGACGCCACGUUAAGGCAGUGUGUUUGAUUGGUCCCACUCAAGAACACACGGCUUUGAUAAAACAUAGGAAUGAAAAGCCAUUGCCUUUCCACU
ensembl:lncRNA